CGCAGGAGCCACCCGCCGCUGGAGGCCGCGUGCACCUGCGAGCGGACGCUUACGUAAGCCGCGUCCUCUGCCUCUCUCCCGGCGCCGGGCCCUCGCUGGCCGGCUGCAGCACCUGAGCCCCGCUGCGCCAGCCGCGGUUACUCCUGGCGCUUCUUUGGUGCAGCAUUCUGCCAGCCCAAAACUGAGCCCUUCGCUGAGUACCUGGUGCAUGUCAGGUGCUAUGCUGGGUGUCAGGAUGCACAAGCGAAUGAGACAAGGUCCUUGCCCUAAAGGAAUUCCUCGUCUGGUCUGGGGUGGGAAAAACCUGACCACCCCAGCAACGGGAUUUGGAGAGCUGGGGGUCCAGGAGGGAUCUCCCAUAACAGCCCCUUCCGGGUCCCUUUCCGUCUUUGUGACGUGCCAGAUCCAAAUAUUUUAACGGCUCUGCUUCAUUUGGGAGAGAAAGUAUGAAUACUUUAACUCAAAAAGUUUUGGUGAUCUGGCCUUAACGUUUCAGGGAGCAUGCUCUUCCCUUUGCCCCUCCUUAGGCCGCCUUGACCCUCCAGCCACACUGAACUUUAAAACUAUAGUUGCCAGAGUAUGUAACACUUCUGAGCCACUGGAGCAAGGGGCUAGGUCCCAAAACCCCUUCUACAGCCUGUCCCCAUCUCCAAUCACCCUCACCUUUCUUUACCCUCCUGAAAGACUCCUUGGGGUUCUUGGAACAGGUUCUCUCAAGAGCUUUCUGGCUGCUUUAGACACACUGUCUAAAUCACUGUGCUUUGCACAUGGCUCAUUAAACCAUGUAUUCUUAUAGCACUA